CCGAUUUUUCUCCUCUUUGAAAACGUUCAUCCUCAUUUUUCCAAGCAAUUGUUCGGCACACGCGUGUCGCGAACAUUUCAACUCUCGCGUAUGGAUUGUCAAAAUAACUCUACACCCGAUGUUUUGAUAUGUCUGCAGACCAACUUGUGCCGGUAGGAAAUGGGCCUGAAGACGUGGGGCCCCCCUAUAACGUGACAGUUGGCAGCCCGACGGAGGACACCGUUCUUGUUCUCACCGAAAAUUGUCUCCAGAGGCCUGUCUGGAUCACCUCUCAAAAUGACAUCCCGACCUUCGUACUCGCUGUCCUGUACAUAAUUUUCGGAAUCCUCUAUACAUUAUUCGGUUAUAGAUGUUUCAAAACGGUGAUGUUCCUAACUGGUUUUAUUUUUGGAUCAGUCCUUCUUUACUUGAUUUGUAUUCAAGAGGCUGUAUUUUCAACUUAUGGAAAUAUUGUAAGUAUAUUUUUUUUUCAUCGAAUUUUGGGAUAGAUUAAAAUGAUGGGAACUUGUAUGGUUUCAGAGAGUUGAAAUCAUGUAACGAUUUACAAAUUUAGUCAAUACUUUCUAUCCUUUUUUCUGACACGUUCAAUUCAGAUCUGCCGCAGUGACGGUUAUUGGUAUUUCUAUGUGAGAAUAGUCACUAAUCUACGGGCUACGCUGCCGUGAUAAGGAAAAACACCGUAUGAACAUUCGAGAGUUGCCAAUUUUCUCUGAAUACGAACACGUAUUUUUAGGAAAGUCAUGCUUAUUUUCCUUGAAAUUUUCAGAUAUUUUAUAGGUUGAAUCGCGGGUAAAAUUGUAUACAAAUUUUGAAGAAAAAUGUUUACAAUUUUCCCGGUAAAUUCGUUUUUUAUUGAAGAAAAUAUGGCAACGUCUGGAGGGUCA
rnacentral:lncRNA from 1 species